rnacentral:rRNA from 1 species
UUGAACGCUGGCGGCAGGCCUAACACAUGCAAGUCGAGCGGUAGCACAGAGAGCUUGCUCUCGGGUGACGAGCGGCGGACGGGUGAGUAAUGUCUGGGAAACUGCCUGAUGGAGGGGGAUAACUACUGGAAACGGUAGCUAAUACCGCAUAAUGUCGCAAGACCAAAGUGGGGGACCUUCGGGCCUCAUGCCAUCAGAUGUGCCCAGAUGGGAUUAGCUAGUAGGUGGGGUAAUGGCUCACCUAGGCGACGAUCCCUAGCUGGUCUGAGAGGAUGACCAGCCACACUGGAACUGAGACACGGUCCAGACUCCUACGGGAGGCAGCAGUGGGGAAUAUUGCACAAUGGGCGCAAGCCUGAUGCAGCCAUGCCGCGUGUGUGAAGAAGGCCUUCGGGUUGUAAAGCACUUUCAGCGGGGAGGAAGGCGAUAAGGUUAAUAACCUUGGCGAUUGACGUUACCCGCAGAAGAAGCACCGGCUAACUCCGUGCCAGCAGCCGCGGUAAUACGGAGGGUGCAAGCGUUAAUCGGAAUUACUGGGCGUAAAGCGCACGCAGGCGGUCUGUCAAGUCGGAUGUGAAAUCCCCGGGCUCAACCUGGGAACUGCAUUCGAAACUGGCAGGCUAGAGUCUUGUAGAGGGGGGUAGAAUUCCAGGUGUAGCGGUGAAAUGCGUAGAGAUCUGGAGGAAUACCGGUGGCGAAGGCGGCCCCCUGGACAAAGACUGACGCUCAGGUGCGAAAGCGUGGGGAGCAAACAGGAUUAGAUACCCUGGUAGUCCACGCCGUAAACGAUGUCGAUUUGGAGGUUGUGCCCUUGAGGCGUGGCUUCCGGAGCUAACGCGUUAAAUCGACCGCCUGGGGAGUACGGCCGCAAGGUUAAAACUCAAAUGAAUUGACGGGGGCCCGCACAAGCGGUGGAGCAUGUGGUUUAAUUCGAUGCAACGCGAAGAACCUUACCUGGUCUUGACAUCCACAGAACUUAGCAGAGAUGCUUUGGUGCCUUCGGGAACUGUGAGACAGGUGCUGCAUGGCUGUCGUCAGCUCGUGUUGUGAAAUGUUGGGUUAAGUCCCGCAACGAGCGCAACCCUUAUCCUUUGUUGCCAGCGGUCCGGCCGGGAACUCAAAGGAGACUGCCAGUGAUAAACUGGAGGAAGGUGGGGAUGACGUCAAGUCAUCAUGGCCCUUACGACCAGGGCUACACACGUGCUACAAUGGCAUAUACAAAGAGAAGCGACCUCGCGAGAGCAAGCGGACCUCAUAAAGUAUGUCGUAGUCCGGAUUGGAGUCUGCAACUCGACUCCAUGAAGUCGGAAUCGCUAGUAAUCGUAGAUCAGAAUGCUACGGUGAAUACGUUCCCGGGCCUUGUACACACCGCCCGUCACACCAUGGGAGUGGGUUGCAAAAGAAGUAGGUAGCUUAACCUUCGGGAGGGCGCUUACCACUUUGUGAUUCAUGACUGGGGUG